ACGAACGCUUGGCUGGCGUGGAUAAGACAUGCAAGUCGAGCGCUAGAUUUGAGGGUAGCAAUAUUUUCAAAUCGGAGCGGCGCAAGGGUGCGUAACAUCGUGGGAAUCUGCCUUGAAGUGCGGGAUAACUCCGAGAAAUCGGAGCUAAUACCGCAUGUGAUCGAAAGAUUAAAGUUGGGACCGUAAGGCCUGACGCUUCAAGAUGAGCCCGCGGCCUAUCAGCUAGUUGUGAUGAGGUAAUGGCUCACCAAGGCCUAAGACGGGUAGCUGGUCUGAGAGGACGACCAGUCACACUGGAACUGAGACACGGUCCAGACACCUACGGGUGGCAGCAGUCGAGAGAUUUUUCUCAAUGGGCGAAAGCUCUGAAGGAGCGACGCCGUCGUGGGGGUAUGAAUGGCUUCGGCCCGUAAACCCCUGUCAUUUGUGAACAAAUUGUUUCACCUAACACGUGAAGCAUUGAUUGUAGCGGAAGAGGACAGGGUACGGACUAACUCUGUGCCUAGCUAGCCGCGGUAUAUACAGAGGUCCCAAGCGUUGUUCGGAUUCAUCUGGGCGUAAAGGGUGCGUAGGCGGUCGGUGUAAGUCUGACGUGAAAUCUCCAAGCUUAACUUGGAAACUGCGUUGGAUACUAUCCGGCUAGAGGAAUGGAGGGGAGACUGGAAUACUUGGUGUAGCAGUGAAAUGCGUAGAUAUCAAGUGGAACACCAGUGGCGAAGGCGAGUCUCUGGACAUUUCCUGACGCUGAGGCACGAAAGCCAGGGGAGCAAACGGGAUUAGAUACCCCGGUAGUCCUGGCCCUAAACGGUGCGGCGUUUGCUGUGAGUGGAAUCGACCCCGCUCGUGGCGAAGUUAACACGUUAAACGCGCCGCCUGGGAAAUAACGGCCGCAAGGUAAAACUCAAAGAAAUUGACUGGGGCCUGCACAAGCGGUGGAGUAUGUGGCUUAAUUCGAUGCAACGCGAAGAACCUUACCUGGCCUUGACAUGCAAGUAGUAGAAGGAUGAAAGUCUGACGAGGUAGCAAUACCAGCUUGCACAGGUGCUGCGUGGCUGUCGUCAGCUCGUGUCGUGAGAUGUUGGGUUAAGUCCCGCAACGAGCGCAACCCCUGUGUCCUGUUGCUCCUCUUAAUUGAGAGCACUCUGGACAGACUGCCUCGCUUCAACGAGGAGGAAGGUGGGGGAUGACGUCAAGUCAGUAUGGCCCUUACGGCCAGGGCUGCACACGUACUACAAUGCCCGAUACAAAGGGAAGCAAGACUGUAAAGUGGAGCAAAUCCUAAAAUAUCGGGCCCAGUUCAGAUUGUCGUCUGCAACUCGACGGCAUGAAGCUGGAAUCGCUAGUAAUGGCGCAUACAGCUACGGCGCCCGUGAAUACGUUCCCAGGCCUUGUACACACCGCCCGUCACAUCAUGAAAGCCGGUUGCAACCCGAAGCCGCCCCUUAAAAGGUGGUCGAAGGUAUGACUGGUGAUUGGGAUG
rnacentral:rRNA from 1 species